GACGAACGCUGGCGGCGUGCUUAACACAUGCAAGUCGAACGGUGAAGCGCCUUCCUUUUUGGUGGGUGUGGAUGAGUGGCGAACGGGUGAGUAACACGUGAGUAACCUGCCCCCUUCUUCUGGAUAACCGCAUGAAAGUGUGGCUAAUACGGGAUAUUCUGGGUCUGUCGCAUGAUGGGUCUGGGAAAGAUAUUGUUUCGGUGGGGGAUGGGCUCGCGGCCUUUCAGCUUGUUGGUGGGGGGAUGGCCUACCAAGGCGGUGACGGGUAGCCGGCCUGAGAGGGUGGACGGUCACACUGGGACUGAGACACGGCCCAGACUCCUACGGGAGGCAGCAGGGGGGAAUAUUGCACAAUGGGCGCAAGCCUGAUGCAGCGACGCCGCGUGAGGGAUGGAGGCCUUCGGGUUGUGAACCUCUUUCGCCAGUGAAGCAGGCCUGCCUCGUUUGUGGGUGGGUUGACGGUAGCUGGAUAAGAAGCGCCGGCUAACUACGUG
rnacentral:rRNA from 1 species